ACUACCAACUCCUCCCGGCGAAGUACAAAGUCUUGGUGCUGGAAGAACUUUUUGGGACCAUGGAGACCGCUGAAGACGGCAGCGAGAGAGAAGAAAAGGGGCACCAAAAGCUCAAAGGAACAAAGAGGGAUGUGACGGUGGAAAGCUUAGAGAAAAGUGAGGCAACAACGGGGAAAAGUGAAGAAGAGGGGCUCCGAAAGCUCAGAGGAACAGAGACGGUUGCGUCGAAGGAAAGCUCAGAGAAGAGUGAGGCAAUAACGGGGAAAAGAUAAGGGAGAAAGGGCCUUAUAUAGGGCUACGCAUACAACGAGGCAAUGGAAACCAAGGUGUUGCUGAUGACACAGGUGAGUGGCCUCAUGGAACCCAACCGGCGUGGAUCCUCGUAGACGUAGGAAGCCACGUCAGGCACGUGUGAUGCACAAGCCAAUGCACGGUCGGGACGUAGGGAAAUGCCCCUACCAAAUCUAAUCGUCGAGAAGUUGGAGAGACGACAGAAACCGAGGUGCCUUCAAGCAUUAAUGACCGGGAGAACAACUACGAGGUACGUGCCUAAGGAAGGCAUGACAAGAAUGUUUUGAAUUCCCACCAUAAGUGUGUGCUCAGAAUUCACGGAGUACUAUGAAGGGAGUAAUCCCCAAAACCAGGUCAGGAGGAGUAGGCCCAACUCACAAGGCCCGAACAGUUCUAGGGCUCGAGGACAAGGGCUAGGCCAAGCCAGGUCAGCCCAGGAGGCCUAGGAGGGGAAGCAGUCAGGCUACACGCGCUAGCCAGACGAUGGAAGGCAGAAUUGUCUGACACCACUGCGGGCCGACAUCCAGGGACGGUUCUUGGCCCUCGACCCCGGCGUCUGAACAGGCCUAAGGGAUGGAUGUAUCUGAUCGAGGGCACGCUGCAUUUAAUGGGGACGGAAACAGGCACACCACAAUAGGAAGCCAUGCUGCAUUUAAUGAAUCUCGAGGCUGGGCAUGCCACGACGUGCCUCCUGGGUUGUCAGUAAUAGCCACAAUUGAGCCUGGCAGGUCUGCUGUGCAGCAUGAAGAUGGCAAGGACACACGACCCCAGUAUGAAACGACACCCCUACCAUCUCCUUCCCGAGGAUCGCCCCGACUAGGAAUAUAUAUACCCCUUCCCUCAGAAAGAGGGGGGGGGGGGGUCAGACACUUUGAUACUUCAAUUCAUAAUCUUCAUAAGGAAAUCACACACUGACUUUAGUAUCGGAGGUGUCCCCCACCACCUUGAAGCCCUCAUUUCUCUAUAGUAGCAGGUGGACAAACUAGGCUCCCACAGAGUUGGUCGGGUUGCGAAAUACAACAUCAACAGAGAUAUACUGUUUUGUUUA